GGCUAUAGUUCAGUGGGAUAACAUCUGCUUCCCAUGCAGAAGUCCCUGGUUCAUUCCCCAGCAUUUUCAGGUAGGGCUG